CUAGAAUUUUUUAACAAAAAAAGUUCGUAAUCGGAACCACACAAAUGACACGAUUAAUAUUACCGCUGCGUGAUGCAGAGGCUUAAUAUAUAUGUUUCCGACUGAAGAUUGAUUUUCUUCUGCUGACCUGAUCCUGGUCUCCACCGUCCAGUAUAAGAUGUGGCGUCCACAUCGGUCUCCUGCUGCACCUCCAGUAAACCUACCUAGCUAGGAUUGAUGGUUAGGUAUCAGGAGGUGAGCAUUAAACGUCUCGCUUACCAUGAACCAUGUC
rnacentral:lncRNA from 1 species